GUAAUACGUAGGGUGCGAGCGUUAAUCGGAAUUACUGGGCGUAAAGCGUGCGCAGGCGGAUUGUUAAGCAAGACGUGAAAUCCCCGGGCUUAACCUGGGAAUGGCGUUUUGAACUGGCAGUCUAGAGUGUGUCAGAGGGGGGUAGAAUUCCACGUGUAGCAGUGAAAUGCGUAGAGAUGUGGAGGAAUACCAAUGGCGAAGGCAGCCCCCUGGGAUAACACUGACGCUCAUGUACGAAAGCGUGGGUAGCAAACAGGAUUAGAUACCCUGGUAGUCCACGCCCUAAACGAUGUCAACUGGUUGUUGGGGGAGUGAAAUCCCUUAGUAACGAAGCUAACGCGUGAAGUUGACCGCCUGGGGAGUACGGUCGCAAGAUUAAAACUCAAAGGAAUUGACGGGGACCCGCACAAGCGGUGGAUGAUGUGGAUUAAUUCGAUGCAACGCGAAAAACCUUACCUACCCUUGACAUGUCCAGAAUCCUGCAGAGAUGCGGGAGUGCCCGAAAGGGAAUUGGAACACAGGUGCUGCAUGGCUGUCGUCAGCUCGUGUCGUGAGAUGUUGGGUUAAGUCCCGCAACGAGCGCAACCCUUAUCAUUAGUUGCUACAUUUAGUUGGGCACUCUAAUGAGACUGCCGGUGACAAACCGGAGGAAGGUGGGGAUGACGUCAAGUCCUCAUGGCCCUUAUAGGUGGGGCUACACACGUCAUACAAUGGAUGGUACAAAGGGUCGCCAACCCGCGAGGGGGAGCCAAUCCCAUAAAGCCAUUCGUAGUCCGGAUCGCAGUCUGCAACUCGACUGCGUGAAGUCGGAAUCGCUAGUAAUCGUGGAUCAGAAUGUCACGGUGAAUACGUUCCCGGGUCUUGUACACACCGCCCGUCACACCAUGGGAGCGGGUUCUGCCAGAAGUAGUUAGCCUAACCGCAAGGAGGGCGAUUACCACGGCAGGGUUCGUGACUGGGGUGAAGUCGUAACAAGGUAA
rnacentral:rRNA from 1 species